GUUCCUGUAGUUAAAGUCCCAUAACGGUGGCUUUUCAUGCCAUAGGUCCUGGAGCAGACCCAGGCAGGAAUU
rnacentral:tRNA from 1 species